AUUGAACGCUGGCGGCAUGCCUUACACAUGCAAGUCGAACGGCAGCGCGGGGCAACCUGGCGGCGAGUGGCGAACGGGUGAGUAAUAUAUCGGAACGUGCCCUAGAGUGGGGGAGUAACGUAGCGAAGUUACGCUAAUACCGCAUACGAUCUACGGAUGAAAGUGGGGGAGUCGCAAGACCUCAUGCUCGUGGAGCGGCCGAUAUCUGAUUAGCUAGUUGGAGGGUAAAGCCUACCAAGGCAUCGAUCAGUAGCUGGUCUGAGAGGACGACCAGCCACACUGGGACUGAGACACGGCCCAGACUCCUACGGGAGGCAGCAGUGGGGAAUUUUGGACAAUGGGGGCAACCCUGAUCCAGCAAU
rnacentral:rRNA from 1 species